CGAAUAAUAAGAUAACGAGUCGGGCUAGGCCCCUUUGGAUCACAAGUUUUGUUUCAUGUUUCUGACAACCAACAUUCAUUAGCAUAAAACUAGAAUUUCAAUUUGAAGCUCGACAUGAAGUCAUCUUAAGUUGAGAAAACAAAAGAUGUAUAAGAGUAAUUGCUACAGCGGAAGUCUAACAUAGGAAUUUAUCACUAGCCUCAGCUCCGUCCCGUCAGCACCGGCCAGCCAACCUGAAAACAUUUGAAAGUAUUUUUGGGCUAAGUACUAAUGUACUUAGUGGGCAUGCAUUUUCUGAAACAUUUCAUAUUUUAAUAAAGACAGUUUAUCCAAUUAUACUUGACAUGACUUAGAAGGUUUUAAAUUGAAAUAACUUCUAAGCAUGUUAAAACAUUUUUCAUUUGUGCGCACAUGUCACACUCCCUUUCUGUUACUCGCUGUGAUCCCGGACCUCUAGCCACCGACGGAUCCAUUUCUCCCAUUGCACUUGCCCUGAGGACGUAACUCAGACAAGUUGAAUUGACCUCGGGACGCUACCCAGGCAGGCCUUACAUGAUACAUGCUCCGGAACACAUCCAGCCAAGCACCCUUAUAACGCCUCUUACAUGAAUUAGUGCCCGAUGGAGAUCAACCCACCGAAACAACUAACAAGUGUACACAAUUCUCAAAUAACGUGUUAGGCCAUAAGAGAACCUCGAUCGAUCCAUGAAUUGCGAGCCUUAAACAGAGCAGAGUGCACAUAAACAUUUUAUUGGAUAAACAGUUUUCAUUACAUUAAAUAAACAAUUUGCAUUUCAUUGAAAACAUUUAGAGCUUAAUAACUCAAUCAUACUUUGUACAUUUGGAAAGUAAGCCCACCUGGUUAGGCAAAGCCUGAAGAUCAUAAUCACAUAUAAACCUGUCUUGGGAAAGCAGCGCUAAUCCCCCUGGUCACAAAGCCUACAAGAAAUUCUAUCCUUAAUAGGUCUCAUGAAACUAAUCUUAAUGUAUUUAUGGAUGUACUAAACAUACUUGAUUCAUCACGCCGGGUUUUCAAAUUUAAUGAAUAAAUACUUGAAAACUAAAUUUCUUGAGUUAAGGACACCAACAAUAUCCUUACUCGAUUUCUUUUAGUGUUUUAGGGUUCUAGCAUCCAUAAUUCGUUCCAUUAAAGACAAUCGAAAACCAUCAUAACCUCGUGACUAACCACAUAAUAUCACGUAAUCACGUAAACAAUAAACAGAAAGAAAUAAAAUCCUCAAGUUUAGUAUCAUUAAAAUCACAAGUUCACAUGAACAUAAAAGAAAUCAUGCACCAUUUUAUAACAUUCUAUACAUUUCAUUUUUUUUUCAUGUAAAUAAAUAAGAAAUUCCAUUAUUCAUUUAUAAAUAAUAAAACAUUUUAAAAUCCAUUGAGAUGAAAUAAAACAUUUUAACCAUUUAAAAUCCAUACUCAAAAAGCCUUGAAAUAUUAUAAAAAUGAGGGUUUAAUCCCAAAAUUUGUUUUCAUUUUUAAAGUCCAUCAAUAAAUAAAUAAAAGAACGGACAUCAUUUAAAAUAAAUAGUCCCAACCUUAAAUAUUAAAAUUUAAAUCAAGAGAUUUAAAUUCACUAAAAUAAUUUAGUGAAAAUUCAAACACAUAGGCAACACAAUCACAUAAGGCACAUAAGAAUCACAAUCAAACAUCAACAAAACAUGCUCUGUUUUUACACUGACUCAACUUCAAAAUUAAACUGUUCUGACUCCGACAUCUCCUGGACUCGAGACUCAUACCGAAAGAAAGAUCUUCGAGUCUAGUUUCAUUUAAAAAAAAAUAGAGUCGAAAAAUCCAAGUGGUUUGAGAGAUAUGACGUUUUUACCACGAUCUACCAUUUCUGGCAGUUUUGUGCAACCGAAGGUUACAAUCUUUGAAAAAUAGUAAACGUUGUCAAACUGGGCUCAACUUCGAUGAAUAUCUAGAUAACACAAUAAGAUUGAUACCAUAAAAAGUUGGAAAGCUAGAUCACAUAGGAAGCUACUGAAAUGAAUGACUCGUUCCCCUGUUCUCUGAAUUCUCGGUAAUAAAGUGCAGUUUAGGUUUAGCAUUUUAAAGAAAUAUCAAACGAAGUUGAAAUAGCUUGAAAUUUUACCAGGGUACUCAAGACUCAUGUAGAAACUUGAUAUAAAAUCUUCAAAGCUAUUAGACAUCGACAAACCAUCGAUCACAGUAGGUCAGUAGGCCUACGAAAUUCUCCAAUUUGUACUUAAAACUCAUAUAUCUCAAAAAAAUCUCUAACUUGAACAUCAUAACUCUCAACAACAACUCAUACCAAAACUCAUUUCAUCACUUCUAAUCAUCAAUCUAAACCAUCACUUAACAUCAUAGCAUGCUCAAGAACUCAUAUAACCACUCAAAUCUUCAAAUCAACAUCAUAUAACAAAAUCACAUAUAGAAACACAUAUAUAUCAUCUUCUUCCUCAAACUAACAUUUUUCAUUUUUCACUUCUCAACCUCAAGCUUCAAUCUCAUCCAUCAUUAAUCAUCUAGAUCAUCUCAUAAACUCAAAUCCAUCAUCAUAUAACUCAAGCCAAGUCAAGAAAAUAAACAACAAAAUUCGUAGGGUUUCAAGCUCCUAAUUUUCGAAAGUUUCAUAAAAAUAAAUUGGGUGAUUUCCUUGCUCAAUCAUGAUCAUAUACUCACUCACAUAUCAUUAAUAUGAUCAAAUAAAUAAUCUAAGAUCACUUACUCAAGGAUUUAAAAGGUGAUCAAGACUUUGCUCCAACUUUGAUCUUAGCUCUAGC
rnacentral:lncRNA from 1 species